rnacentral:rRNA from 1 species
CCUACGGGUGGCAGCAGUGAGGAAUAUUGGUCAAUGGGCGAGAGCCUGAACCAGCCAAGUCGCGUGAGGGAGUACUGCCCUAUGGGUUGUAAACCUCUUUUGUCGGGGAGCAAAAGCCGGACGUGUCCGGCUGUGAGAGUACCCGAAGAAAAAGCAUCGGCUAACUCCGUGCCAGCAGCCGCGGUAAUACGGAGGAUGCGAGCGUUAGACGGAUUUAUUGGGGUUAAAGGGUGCUCAGGCGGGAUUUUAAGUCAGCGGUCAAAUCGUGGGGGGAAACCCCAGCCAGCCGGUGAACCUUGGGAUCUAUGGUGUGCGAGAGGUAUGCGGAAUGCGUGGUGUAGCGGUGAAAUGCAUAGAUAUUAGGAGGAACACCAGUGGCGAAGGCGGCUCACUGGACUGUAACUGACGUUGAGGCUCGAAAGCGUGGGGAGCAAACAGGAUUAGAUACCCCAGUAGUC